rnacentral:rRNA from 1 species
GCUAACACUAGCCCCAAAUAUAACUAACUCUAAUACUAAACUCAACGUAUACUAAACCAUUUACCUACAUAAAGUAUAGGCGAUAGAAAUUUUAACUAGGCGCUAUAGACACAGUACCGUAAGGGAAAGAACAAAACCACCCAAGCAUAAAAUAGCAAGAACUAACCCCUGUACCUUUCGCAUAAUGGAUCAACUAGAAAUAUUUUCGCAAAGAGAACUAAAGCUAAAUUCCCCCGAAAUCAGACGAGCUACCCGAAAACAGCUAAAAGAGCGCACCCAUCUAUGUGGCAAAAUAGUGGGAAGAUUUACGGGUAGAGGUGACAAGCCUACCGAGCCUGAUGAUAGCUGGUUAUCCAAGAUAGAAUCUUAGUUCAACCUUGAGCUUACCUAUAGAACUACUUAAUCUCCUUGUAAACUCAAUUGUCAGUCCAAAGAGGGACAGCUCUUUAGACACUAGGAAAAAACCUUAUAGAGAGAGUAAAGAACCAUAAUCACCAUAGUCGGCCUAAAAGCAGCCAUCAAUUAAGAAAGCGUUCAAGCUCAACAUCAACCACCCAAAAAAUCCCAAACAUAUAACCGAACUCCUCGUAUCACAUUGGAUUAAUCUAUCACCACAUAGAGGCAAUAAUGUUAAUAUAAGUAACAUGAACACUUUCUCCACUGCAUAAGCCUAAAUCAGACCGAAAACCUCACCGAUACUUAACAGCCCAGUAUUAACAAACACAAACAAGCCAAUACCUCCCCCACUGUUAACCCAACACAGGCAUGCCCUAAGGAAGGUUAAAAAAAGUAAAAGGAACUCGGCAAACUUAACCCCCGCCUGUUUACCAAAAACAUCACCUCUAGCAUUACUAGUAUUAGAGGCACUGCCUGCCCAGUGACACACGUUUAACGGCCGCGGUACCCUGAC